rnacentral:rRNA from 1 species
UACAGAGGGUGCAAGCGUUGUUCGGAAUUAUUGGGCGUAAAGGGCGCGUAGGCGGUGCGGUAAGUCUGUAGUGAAAUCUCUGGGCUCAACUCAGAGUCUGCUGCAGAAACUGCCGUGCUUGAGUGUGGGAGAGGUGAGUGGAAUUCCCGGUGUAGCGGUGAAAUGCGUUGAUAUCAGGAGGAACACCCAUGGCGAAGGCAGUUCACUGGGCAUCAUCUGACGCUGAGGCGCGAAAGCGUGGGUAGCAAACAGG